GACAGAGGAUGCAAGCGUUAUCCGGAAUGAUUGGGCGUAAAGCGUCUGUAGGUGGUUCAAUAAGUCAACUGUUAAAUCUUGAGGCUCAACUUCAAAAUCGCAGUCGAAACUAUUGGACUCGAGUAUAGUAGGGGUAAAGGGAAUUUCCAGUGAAGUGGUGAAAUGCGUAGAUAUUGGAAAGACCACCAAUGGCGAAGGCACUCUACUGGGCCACUACUGACACUGAGAGACGAAAGCUAGGGGAGCAAAUGGG
rnacentral:rRNA from 1 species